GGCCCUGUAGCGGGAGAACCGACCCAGUCGGUGCCGAAGGAGCAACCGCCCCGGAAACUCUCAGGCCCCAGGACCGCGACGACUUC
rfam:Pseudopropionibacterium propionicum F0230a chromosome, complete genome.